rnacentral:tRNA from 1 species
GCCCGGGUGGCGGAAUUGGCAGACGCGCUAGGUUCAGGUCCUAGUAUCCCUUAAAGAUGUGGAGGUUCGAGUCCUCUCUCGGGCACCA